AGCUUUGCAUAGUGGCAGAAUGGUGGCCAGUGAGGUUUAUCUGAGGCAUGAUUACUGCUAACUGAAACUUAUCCCACAUUCCUUAAAUAACAAGUGCAAGUAUGUUUUGUUUUAAUAAGUAUGGAUUUGCUGAAGAUCUGUUAUAUGUACCAGA
ensembl:snRNA U4 U4 spliceosomal RNA